rnacentral:sRNA from 1 species
UUGGAUAUGUUAUAAUCAAUAACUGUAGAGAAGUUAAGACGGUGGCUCUAAUUUCUGAAAGGUGGUGGUGCUUAUGAAAGUAAGUGCUAAAAUCCAAAGAGAAAGGAGCAAGUAUUGUCCGUUUAUGAGGCGCUGCAACUGAUGCUUGGAUUUGGUAGUUUUCUACUAACUCUUAUUGGCUUAG